rnacentral:rRNA from 1 species
GAUGAACGCUAGCUACAGGCUUAACACAUGCAAGUCGAGGGGCAGCAUGGUCUUAGCUUGCUAAGGCCGAUGGCGACCGGCGCACGGGUGAGUAACACGUAUCCAACCUGCCGUCUACUCUUGGACAGCCUUCUGAAAGGAAGAUUAAUACAAGAUGGCAUCAUGAGUCCGCAUGUUCACAUGAUUAAAGGUAUUCCGGUAGACGAUGGGGAUGCGUUCCAUUAGAUAGUAGGCGGGGUAACGGCCCACCUAGUCUUCGAUGGAUAGGGGUUCUGAGAGGAAGGUCCCCCACAUUGGAACUGAGACACGGUCCAAACUCCUACGGGAGGCAGCAGUGAGGAAUAUUGGUCAAUGGGCGAGAGCCUGAACCAGCCAAGUAGCGUGAAGGAUGACUGCCCUAUGGGUUGUAAACUUCUUUUAUAAAGGAAUAAAGUCGGGUAUGCAUACCCGUUUGCAUGUACUUUAUGAAUAAGGAUCGGCUAACUCCGUGCCAGCAGCCGCGGUAAUACGGAGGAUCCGAGCGUUAUCCGGAUUUAUUGGGUUUAAAGGGAGCGUAGAUGGAUGUUUAAGUCAGUUGUGAAAGUUUGCGGCUCAACCGUAAAAUUGCAGUUGAUACUGGAUAUCUUGAGUGCAGUUGAGGCAGGCGGAAUUCGUGGUGUAGCGGUGAAAUGCUUAGAUAUCACGAAGAACUCCGAUUGCGAAGGCAGCCUGCUAAGCUGCAACUGACAUU